rnacentral:rRNA from 1 species
AAUAUUUGACAAUGGGGGCAACCCUGAUCCAGUCAUGCCGCGUGUGUGAAGAAGGUCUUCGGAUUGUAAAUCACUUCAUGUUGGGAGGAAGGGCUUUAGGUUAAUACCCUGCAAUUUUGACGUUACCAAUAGAAUAUGCACCGUCUAACUUCGUUCCAGCAGCCGCGGUAAUACAGAGGGUGCAAGCGUUAAUCGGAAUUACUGGGCGUAAAGCGCGCGUAGGUGGUUCAGUAAGAUGGGUGUGAAAUCCCCGGGCUUAACCUGGGAACUGCUUUCAUAACUGCUGAGCUAGAGUACGGUAGAGGGUAGUGGAAUUUCCUGUGUAGCGGUGAAAUGCGUAGAUAUAGGAAGGAACACCAGUGGCGAAGGCGACUACCUGGACUGAUACUGACACUGAAGUGCGAAAGCGUGGGGAGCAAACA